rnacentral:rRNA from 1 species
CCUACGGGAGGCAGCAGUGGGGAAUAUUGCACAAUGGGGGAAACCCUGAUGCAGCGACGCCGCGUGAGUGAAGAAGUAUUUCGGUACGUAAAGCUCUAUCAGCGGGGAAGAAAAUGACGGUACCUGACUAAGAAGCCCCGGCUAACUACGUGCCAGCAGCCGCGGUAAUACGUAGGGGGCAAGCGUUAUCCGGAUUUACUGGGUGUAAAGGGAGCGUAGACGGCAGCGCAAGUCUGGAGUGAAAUCCCAUGGCUUAACCAUGGAACUGCUUUGGAAACUGUGCAGCUAGAGUGCAGGAGAGGUAAGCGGAAUUCCUAGUGUAGCGGUGAAAUGCGUAGAUAUUAGGAGGAACACCAGUGGCGAAGGCGGCUUACUGGACUGUAACUGACGUUGAGGCUCGAAAGCGUGGGGAGCAAACAGGAUUAGAUACCCGGGUAGUC